ensembl:lncRNA
GAGAGAGAAGAAAGAAGGAGAGAGGAGAAGAAAGAAGGAGAGAGGAGAAGAAAGAAGGAGAGAGGAGAAGAAAGAAGGAGAGAGAGAAACAAAGAAGGAGAGAGGAGAAGAAAGAAGGAGAGAGAGAAACAAAGAAGGAGAGAGAGAAACAAAGAAGGAGAGAGGAGAAGGAAGGGGUUACAGGAAAACAUACAUCACAGCUGGCGUCUGUAGCCAGAACCAACACGAUCCAUCCGCCUGGGACUCCACUUCACGGGAUUGGCUGGACCUCCGCCCAGGGUCAAAGGUGAUCCUGCUGGCUGGGCCAAGCCUCCACAUUCAAAAAGAAUUGGACUGUUCCCAGGCUCUCUCAUGCAUCUCUAAGCUCUCCAACACAGGACAAUUUACUGGCUGGGAGCAGCAUAGCCAAGGACCAAGAGCUGG